rnacentral:tRNA from 1 species
GCGGGCGUGGUAUAGUGGUAUUAUACGUCCUUGCCAAGGACGAGAGGGGGGUUCGAUUCCCCUCGCCCGCUCCA